UACGUAGGGCGCAAGCGUUGUCCGGAAUUAUUGGGCGUAAAGAGCUCGUAGGCGGCCUGUUGCGUCCGCUGUGAAAUCCCGGGGCUUAACCCCGGGCGUGCAGUGGAUACGGGCAGGCUGGAGGCAGGCAGGGGAGAACGGAAUUCCCGGUGCAGCGGUGAAAUGCGCAGAUAUCGGGAGGAACACCGGUGGCGAAGGCGGUUCUCUGGGCCUGUACUGACGCUGAGGAGCGAAAGCGUGGGGAGCGAACAGG
rnacentral:rRNA from 1 species